rnacentral:rRNA from 1 species
CGCACAGUAAACGAUGAAUGCUGGUUCUUGGCGAUAUACAGUCAGGAACUGAGGGAAACCAUUAAGCAUUCCACCUGGGGAGUACGCCGGCAACGGUGAAACUCAAAGGAAUUGACGGGGGCCCGCACAAGCGGAGGAACAUGUGGUUUAAUUCGAUGAUACGCGAGGAACCUUACCCGGGCUUGAAUUGCAGCUGCAUGGGGCAGAGAUGUCCCUUCCCUUCGGGGCUGCUGUGAAGGUGCUGCAUGGUUGUCGUCAGCUCGUGCCGUGAGGUGUCGGCUUAAGUGCCAUAACGAGCGCAACCCUUGCUGUCAGUUGCCAUCAGGUAAUGCUGGGCACUCUGGCGGGACUGCCAUCGCAAGAUGUGAGGAAGGUGGGGAUGACGUCAAAUCAGCACGGCCCUUACGUCCGGGGCUACACACGUGUUACAAUGGGGAGUACAGCGAGCAGCUUGGUGGCGACACCUGGCCAAUCUUCAAAUCUCCUCUCAGUUCGGACUGGAGUCUGCAACCCGACUCCACGAAGCUGGAUUCGCUAGUAAUCGCGCAUCA